rnacentral:rRNA from 1 species
UACGUAGGGUGCAAGCGUUGUCCGGAAUUAUUGGGCGUAAAGAGCUCGUAGGCGGUCUGUCGCGUCGGCUGUGAAAACUCGGGGCUCAACCCCGAGCCUGCAGCCGAUACGGGCAGACUAGAGUUCGGUAGGGGAGACUGGAAUUCCUGGUGUAGCGGUGAAAUGCGCAGAUAUCAGGAGGAACACCGGUGGCGAAGGCGGCUCACUGGACCGGUACUGACGCUGAUGCGCGAAAGCGUGGGGAGCAAACGGG